GGCCGAGCCGGGAAUCAAACCCUAGUCUAGUGGUAAAGACGUUAGCCGCGAAAGCUGAAGACCCGGGUUCGAUUCCCGGCUCGGUCA